AGCCAUAGCUUUUACCAGAAUCCCAAGGGUUUGUGACUCCUGAACACUGGGUACCCUUUCUGCUCCAUUUUAAUCAGUGCUGUAGGCAGGGCUUCUGAAGGCAACUUUCAAGAUUUUCAUCUGGACAGUAAAAGUGGAAAUUAUGUUUCCCAGCAUCACUUGCAGUUAAGUUGGGGCCAUGUGACCAAGUCUGUCCAAUGGAAUGUGGGCAUGAGUGAUAUACAUUCUUUCUAGGACUGAGCCUUCCAUCUUCACAGGUGAUCCUCUAGCCCUCUCCUUCCCUGCUAUGGGGACCACAUGUUCCAGAUGGUACAGCAACAAGAUAGAGGAGGGCUGCCUAAGUCCUGUGCAUGGUGCUGUGAAUGAGAAAUAAACUUGUGCUGUGCUAA